rnacentral:rRNA from 1 species
AAGCUCGUAGUUGAAUUUCGGGGUUAGUAGGUUGGUCAUGCCUCUGGUAUGUACUGGUCUCACUGAUUCCUCCUUCCUGAUGAACCUUAAUGCCAUUAAUUUGGUGCUUUGGGGAAUUUGGACUGUUACUUUGAAAAAAUUAGAGUGUUUAAAGCAAGCUAACGCUUGAAUACAUUAGCAUGGAAUAAUGAAAUAGGACGUUCGAUCCUAUUUUGUUGGUUUCUAGGAUUGACGUAAUGAUUAAUAGGGAUAGUUGGG